CCUACGGGUGGCAGCAGUGAGGAAUAUUGGUCAAUGGGCGGAAGCCUGAACCAGCCAAGUAGCGUGCGGGAUGAAGGCCCUACGGGUCGUAAACCGCUUUUGCACGGGGAUAAAACCGUCAACUUGUGGAGGUCUGCAGGUACGGUGCGAAUAAGGGCCGGCUAAUUCCGUGCCAGCAGCCGCGGUAAUGCGGAAGGCCCGUGCGUUAUCCGGAUUCAGUUGGCUUAAAGGGAGCGUAGGCGGGCGUUCAAGUCAGCUGUAAAAUCGCGCGGCUCAACCGCGCCCCGCAGUUGAAACUGGACGCCUUGAGUUCACAACAGGCAGGCGGAAUUCGUGGUGUAGCGGUGAAAUGCGUAGAUAUCACGAGGAACCCCGAUUGCGAAGGCAGCCUGCCGGGGCGCUACUGACGCUGAGGCUCGAAGGUGCGGGUAUCAAACAGGAUUAGAUACCCGGGUAGUC
rnacentral:rRNA from 1 species